rnacentral:rRNA from 1 species
GAUGAACGCUGGCGGCGUGCCUAAUACAUGCAAGUCGAGCGAACGGACGAGAAGCUUGCUUCUCUGAUGUUAGCGGCGGACGGGUGAGUAACACGUGGAUAACCUACCUAUAAGACUGGGAUAACUUCGGGAAACCGGAGCUAAUACCGGAUAAUAUUUUGAACCGCAUGGUUCAAAAGUGAAAGACGGUCUUGCUGUCACUUAUAGAUGGAUCCGCGCUGCAUUAGCUAGUUGGUAAGGUAACGGCUUACCAAGGCAACGAUGCAUAGCCGACCUGAGAGGGUGAUCGGCCACACUGGAACUGAGACACGUUCCAGACCCCUACGGGAGGCAGCAGUAGGGAAUCUUCCGCAAUGGGCGAAAGCCUGACGGAGCAACGCCGCGUGAGUGAUGAAGGUCUUCGGAUCGUAAAACUCUGUUAUUAGGGAAGAACAUAUGUGUAAGUAACUGUGCACAUCUUGACGGUACCUAAUCAGAAAGCCACGGCUAACUACGUG